GAUGAACGCUGGCGGCGUGCCUAAUACAUGCAAGUCGAGCGAACAGACGAGGAGCUUGCUCCUCUGACGUUAGCGGCGGACGGGUGAGUAACACGUGGAUAACCUACCUAUAAGACUGGGAUAACUUCGGGAAACCGGAGCUAAUACCGGAUAAUAUAUUGAACCGCAUGGUUCAAUAGUGAAAGACGGUUUUGCUGUCACUUAUAGAUGGAUCCGCGCCGCAUUAGCUAGUUGGUAAGGUAACGGCUUAACAAGGCAACGAUGCGUAGCCGACCUGAGAGGGUGAUCGGCCACACUGGAACUGAGACACGGUCCAGACUCCUACGGGAGGCAGCAGUAGGGAAUCUUCCGCAAUGGGCGAAAGCCUGACGGAGCAACGCCGCGUGAGUGAUGAAGGUCUUCGGAUCGUAAAACUCUGUUAUGAGGGAAGAACAAAUGUGUAAGUAACUAUGCACGUCUUGACGGUACCUAAUCAGAAAGCCACGGCUAACUACGU
rnacentral:rRNA from 1 species